ensembl:lncRNA
CUGUUGUCAUUGGGUUUCAGAUUAAAAGUUUGGUGAAAAAAAAAAAAGUCAGUUGAUUGAUUCAACGUCAUCAAGUUGCAUUUUUGGGUUGAAAUAACGUGGAAACAACUUUGAUCCAACACUUUUUUGUUGUUUUUUGUCCACUGGGAUCAUAAUUCACUACUUCUGACCAGGGCCCAUAGGGAUCUGGUUCAAAGUAGUGCACUAUAUUAGGGAAUAGGGGUGCCAUUUGACCAGGGCCCAUAGGGAUCUGGUUCAAAGUAGUGCACUAUAUUAGGGAAUAGGGUGUCAUUUGGGAACGUACUCUCUUAACAGAGAUCCAUAAUACAGUGUUUCACAGCAGUAGCAACACAGCCCUCUAGCUAGAGAUUUGAACAGGGCUGGGUCACUCUGAUAUUCUGGCAUGUCUGGCAAACCAGCAUCUGAUUUAGACCUGGGAAACCAGGUGUGUGUGUGUGUGUGUGUGUGUGUGUGUGUGUGUGUGUGUGUGUGUGUGUGUGUGUGUGUGUGUGUGUGUUUAAGUGUCAGACAGGAGAUAGAACAGCAGGCAACCAAGUUCCUGAGGAAUAGAAAUCUUGACCUUCCCUGGCUAAGAACAUCUGUCUUAAAGCUGCAUGGUCCUGCUCCUCACUCACUGGCUGUCCAGGAGUUAGCCACAACACACACACACAGUCGCUAUUGAACUGCAGUGGUGAUGUUGUCGAAAAAACAGGAGACACAGGAACCACCACCAGACCCUCUUAGUCGAUCACAGCACCCAGACCCCCCUCAUUGCCACAGCACCCAGACCCCCC